GAAAUGCGAUAAGUAAUAUGAAUUGUAGAAUUCAGUGAAUCAUCGAAUCUUUGAACGCACAUUGCGCCCGCCAGCACUCUGGCGGGCAUGCCUGUUCGAGCGUCAUUUCAACCCUCAGAACCCCUUGCGGGAUCUGGCGUUGGGGAUUGGCAUCCAGCCAGCCCCGAAAUCUAGUGGCGGUCCCUCCGCGACCUCCCCUGUGCAGUAGCGAUACCUCGCAGCGGGACAGCGGUCUGACCACGCCGUAAAACCCCCAACUUCUCAAGGUUGACCUCGAAUCAGGUAGGAAUACCCGCUGAACUUAAGC
rnacentral:misc_RNA from 1 species